rnacentral:rRNA from 1 species
UACGUAGGGCGCAAGCGUUAUCCGGAAUUAUUGGGCGUAAAGGGCUCGUAGGCGGCCAACUAAGUCGGACGUGAAAUCCCCAGGCUCAACCUGGGAACUGCGUCCGAUACUGGAUGGCUUGGAUUCGGGAGAGGAAUGCGGAAUUCCAGGUGUAGCGGUGAAAUGCGUAGAUAUCUGGAGGAACACCGGUGGCGAAGGCGGCAUUCUGGACCGAUAUUGACGCUGAGGAGCGAAAGCCAGGGGAGCAAACGGG